rnacentral:rRNA from 1 species
UACGUAGGUGGCAAGCGUUGUCCGGAAUUAUUGGGGGUAAAGCGCGCGCAGGCGGUUUCUUAAGUCUGAUGUGAAAGCCCCCGGCUCAACCGGGGAGGGUCAUUGGAAACUGGGAAACUUGAGUGCAGGAGAGAAGAGCGGAAUUCCACGUGUAGCGGUGAAAUGCGUAGAGAUGUGGAGGAACACCAGUGGCGAAGGCGGCUCUUUGGCCUGUAACUGACGCUGAGGCGCGAAAGCGUGGGGAGCAAACAGG